rnacentral:rRNA from 1 species
CCUACGGGGGGCAGCAGUGGGGAAUAUUGCGCAAUGGGCGAAAGCCUGACGCAGCGACGCCGCGUGAGGGAUGAAGGUCUUCGGAUCGUAAACCUCUGUCAGCAGGGAAGAACGGUCACUGUGCUAAUCAGCAGUGAAUUGACGGUACCUGCAAAGGAAGCACCGGCUAACUCCGUGCCAGCAGCCGCGGUAAUACGGAGGGUGCGAGCGUUAAUCGGAAUUACUGGGCGUAAAGCGCUCGUAGGCGGUAUGUCAAGUCAAGGGUGAAAUCCCCGCGCUCAACGUGGGAACUGACUUUGAAACUGGCAAACUGGAGCGUGUGAGAGGAGAGUGGAAUUCCAGGUGUAGAAGUGAAAUGCGGAGAUAGCUGGAGGAACAGCAGUGGCGAAGGCGACUAUCUGGCACAUAACUGACGCUGAGGAGCGAAAGCGUGGGUAGCAAACAGGAUUGGAUACCCCAGUAGUC